CAAACGUUUCUGCGGUAUCACUAGCUGACGAUUGCAGCCGGAAACUCAAUGCAGAUGACGUCCGUCCCAGAUGGGUCUUGGAUCUCAUAUCGCACUACAAGCCGGAGCUGCAAAUAUAACAGAUACAUGUCAUACACUAAGGUGGAAACCCUCCCAACAAGAUCCUCUGUUUACCGGAUUCCUCUCCGAACCAGACAAAUGUUCUGGCCACGUACGUUUUAUUUUUACUAUACAUACAUAUAUAUUCUUUUUUAGUUCGUGUAUCUUUACACAGACAGAAAAUAAGACUGCUUGUUUCUUACCGAAGGAUAGAUACUCUUUACAGGCAUGCUGGCCUUAAAGGUGUAGUUGUUAUUAGGCGAGAUGGGACAUUUCUCCACAAUGCCGUUGCAAGCGUUGGCAUCAGGAAUAGAAAAGGGAACUGGAACUCCACUCAAAACACCGUGAACGACGGUGGAUAGCUGUGAUUGGCUUGUUUCUG